GGUUAUCUGGUGAGUGGAAUUCAUUCAUUUCAUUUAGUACAUAGAAUACUUUUGAAUGCAUGUUGUUCUGUUGUGUUUAUCUCAGAGGAACCCUGUCUAGCUGAAUGGUGGAAGUUUGGCACCAGCUGUUAUUAUGUCUCCUCCACGAUGAACACAGCUGGGGCCGGUCAGAAGGAGUGCAGAACAAUGGGAGGAGAGUUUGUUGUUAUAAACAGCAGAGAAGAACAGAUAUUCAUUAACGGAUUUAAGAAGAAUGUCUGGAUUGGUAUUUAUAAAAAAGACGGAAUCUGGCAGUGGGUUGACAGCACACCAUUUACAACUACGUAUUGGAUGGAAGGGGAACCUAAUAACAUCAAUGACAAGGGGGUUUGUGUUGAGAUCUCACAGACAGCAACAGACCCAUUGAAGAGUUGGAGGGACGGACCAUGUGUUCCAAAACACUGGGUCUGUGAGAAACCAAU